rnacentral:rRNA from 1 species
AACGAACGCUGGCGGCAUGCCUAACACAUGCAAGUCGAACGAGACCUUCGGGUCUAGUGGCGCACGGGUGCGUAACGCGUGGGAACCUGCCCUUAGGUUCGGAAUAACUCCCCGAAAGGGGUGCUAAUACCGGAUAAUGUCUUCGGACCAAAGAUUUAUCGCCUUUGGAUGGGCCCGCGUUGGAUUAGCUAGUUGGUAGGGUAAAAGCCUACCAAGGCGACGAUCCAUAGCUGGUCUGAGAGGAUGAUCAGCCACACUGGGACUGAGACACGGCCCAGACUACUACGGGAGGAAGCAGUGGGGAAUAUUGGACAAUGGGCGAAAGCCUGAUCCAGCAAUGCCGCGGGAAUGAUGAAGGCCUUAGGGUUGGAAAGCUCUCUUACCAGGGAUGAUAAUGACAGUACCGGGAGAAUACGCUCCGGCUAACUCCGUG